rnacentral:rRNA from 1 species
GACGAACGCUGGCGGCGUGCUUAACACAUGCAAGUCGAACGGAAAGGCCCCUUUGGGGGUACUCGAGUGGCGAACGGGUGAGUAACACGUGCGUAACCUGCCCUUGACUUCGGGAUAACUUCAGGAAACUGGGGCUAAUACCGGAUAGGAAUCCUUGCUGCAUGGUGGGGGUGGGAAAGCUUCGGCGGUUUUGGAUGGACUCGCGGCUUAUCAGCUUGUUGGUGGGGUAGUGGCUUACCAAGGCUUUGACGGGUGGCCGGCCUGGGGGGGCGACCGGCCACAUUGGGACUGGGGUACGGCCCAGACUCCUACGGGAGGCAGCAGUGGGGAAUAUUGCACAAUGGGCGGAAGCCUGAUGCAGCAACGCCGCGUGCGGGAUGACGGCCUUCGGGUUGUAAACCGCUUUCAGCAGGGGCGAAGCUUGUGGUGACGGUACCUGCAGAAGAAGCACCGGCUAACUACGUG